rnacentral:rRNA from 1 species
CGGAGGAUCCAAGCGUUAUCCGGAAUCAUUGGGUUUAAAGGGUCCGUAGGCGGCCUUAUAAGUCAGUGGUGAAAUCCCAAUCGCUCAACGAUGGAACUGCCAUUGAUACUGUAGGGCUUGAAUUAUUGUGAAGUAACUAGAAUAUGUAGUGUAGCGGUGAAAUGCUUAGAUAUUACAUGGAAUACCAAUUGCGAAGGCAGGUUACUAACAAUUGAUUGACGCUGAUGGACGAAAGCGUGGGAGCGAACAGGAUU